GUUGAACGCAGCUUGUCUAGGAAAGG
rnacentral:piRNA from 1 species